CCGUACACCGUGAACACGCAUACGAGUAGUAUUAUCGAUGUCCAAAACCCUCUUUUCAAGCCGGAUUCGAAAAGCGUUUAAAAUUUAGACCGGCGGAAUAGGAGACGAUUAGCAAAAAACAGAUACCUAUGAAAUGUAUUAUUUUUCCCCGCUCUUCCGGCCUGAAUGUCUUUAACUCGUACGAAUUUAUAACUCAUAGUAUCCGACAUAGGCAUACUAAUCUAACAGCCAUGUCCAGACAAAUAAUAUAUUUCCAAGAAUGUGUUGAGAACCGCUGAAAAAACC